AUUGAACGCUGGCGGCAUGCCUUACACAUGCAAGUCGAACGGCAGCACGGGAGCAAUCCUGGUGGCGAGUGGCGAACGGGUGAGUAAUAUAUCGGAACGUGCCCGGUCGUGGGGGAUAACGUAGCGAAAGCUACGCUAAUACCGCAUACGAUCUACGGAUGAAAGCGGGGGAUCGCAAGACCUCGCGCGAUUGGAGCGGCCGAUAUCAGAUUAGGUAGUUGGUGAGGUAAAGGCUCACCAAGCCGACGAUCUGUAGCUGGUCUGAGAGGACGACCAGCCACACUGGGACUGAGACACGGCCCAGACUCCGUACGGGAGGCAGCAGGUGGGGAAUUUUGGACAAUGGGCGCAAGCCUGAUCCAGCAAUGCCGCGUGCAGGAUGAAGGCC
rnacentral:rRNA from 1 species